GACUCUUAAUAGCCGCGUAUAGUGCUAAGGUAGCAUAAUAAUUUGCCUGCUAAUUUCAGGAUAGAAUGAAAGGUUUAACACGAGACUUUCUUUAUUAAAUUGGUUAAUUUAAAUUCACAUGAAAGUAAAAAGGCUUUCAUUACUCAAGGGGACGACAAGACCCUAUCGAACUUUACUUUAAGUUUAGCUGGGGCGGCAAAAAACAAUAUCUUUUCCAAAUAUCAUUUCCAAUCCUAUAUUUUGAUAUAUUAAGUUACCGUAGGGAUAACAGCAUAAUUCACUUCUAGAGACCUUAUCAAAAAGUGAGAUUGUGACCUCGAUGUUGAAUUAAAAUUCUCCUUGGAGCAAAAUCCAAGAAUAGAAAGUCUGUUCGACUUUUAAUUAUUUACAUGAUUUGAGUUCAGACCGGCGUAAGCCAGGUCGGUUUCUAUCUCUUCUUUCUAAAUUUUAGUACGAAAGGAUCACUUUUAGAGCCAUUCGC
rnacentral:rRNA from 1 species